AUCAACUUUCCGAACGUAAAAUUAAAGUGGCGCGUUUAUGAAAAAGUUUCCUCCCAUCUCCUCCCACUUUCCCCCCCUCACUCCUCUAGAAGAAUACCGGUAUAUAUUUUUCAUUUUCGGAAUUUCCAUUUUCUCUCAACUCAAACGUCAUUUGCUCGUCAUCCUCCUCCUUCAAUCCAACCACAACCAUUUUUAGCUCGAAUCUUCUAAAACUACUACUUCGUUGUAAUUGGAUAUUAUUGAUUUGAUGGGUAGAGAGCGAGCUUAUGUUGAUGACGAUAUUGAUGAAAGUAAGUUCAAGACUUCGGAAGCAAUGAACCGCUAGAAGAAAAUCUUCAGUGUUCAAGCUGUGACAGUUGAGCGGGAGGUCAAAUUGAGUGACUUCGAGGAUCUUGGGCUUCCCAGAAUCUUCAAAUCAAGAGGUUGGCUUUUGGCAAUGGGUCCUUCAGAGCCUGCUAAUAUCCAGAUUGUCCAAGAAUUCUACGCAAACAUUCCUCCUUUCUCCGCCGAGCAGAAAACUCCACCUGGGUUGGGCCCUUUUGGUUCUUGUUUGUGGGAUGAGACUCUGCAUUUCUCUAGCGGUCGAGAAUACCCUGACUCAUUUGAUGUGUAUUUGCGAGGUAAGGUGUUAAAUUUCUCUGUUUCUGGCAUUGCCCAGUUGCUUAAACUUACUAGGCCAAACCCAAAUGAAAAAUCACCUGGUUUUCCUGGGCUUGUUGUUGAUAAUCUUGACUUGAAGGUGGUGAAAUCUACUUUGGGUUGGAACAAGAGGGUCAGGGUUUUGCGUGAAAAUCGACUGAGUGAUUUGUACAAAGUGCUUAACAGCAUAGUGAGAUAUAAUAUCGAUCCUCCUUGUCACGUUAUCCCUUCUUUGCUUAGCCCUGAUAGAGCUCGCCUUCUUUAUGCCAUUGGGAACAAUGUACCUAUUGAUCUGGCCACCUACAUUUUUCGUGCCAUCUGUCGUGCUGCAUUCCCAACUUCCAUGCCCGACUCCCUGCCUUUUACUUCCUUGAUCACACGCUUCGCCAUGGCUUCUCACGUGCCAGUUGAGCCUACGGAUAAGCUUUAUUCUCCUUGGUCGCCUUUGGACAACGUGGAUAUUUUUGGCUAUAGCUUUACUCCAUCUUCUCCGGCAGUCAAGCAACCUCAAGCGGUGGUGAGCCACACGCCCAGUAUGGCCAUACUUACCAAUGGCGUUGCUGAGCACAGGGGUGAUGUGCACCCCGUUUCCACCCACUCGCUCAUCCCACCUUCUUCGAAACAGCCAUCUGCAGAAAUAAUGGAGGCUGAAGAAGAAAAUAACAGCAAUUUGAUUCCUAACUCGCAUGCUUGUAUAAAUCCGUUAACUUCAACUUCUGACUCGCAUCCAAAUGAGAAAGUGAAAAAAGAUCCAUUGGAACAUGCAGCUGGUGAGGUGUCAAAAUUACUGCAGGAGUUUUUGGCAAGUCAAAUGAAACUACAACUCAAAGGAUAGGAGGUCCUUGGAGUGGUUUCAAAGAUACCUAACCUCAGUAGAUUGCAAGUUUUUAAAGCUGUACGCAUAAUAUUGAAUGGUAACCCAAAAGAAUUCUCUCUACUGAAAUCUCUUCCUGAUGUUGAGAAGACAAAGUGGAUACUCUUACUAAUUAGUCAAUCUGAAGGAAAAGAAGAAAGUUUGAGAUACGCUAUCCCUUCUGGCCA